rnacentral:rRNA from 1 species
GGAUUAGAUACCCUGGUAGUCCACGCCGUAAACGUUGUGCACUAGGUGUGGGAGGUAUCGACCCCUUCCGUGCCGCAGCUAACGCAUUAAGUGCACCGCCUGGGGAGUACGGUCGCAAGACUGAAACUCAAAGGAAUUGACGGGGGCCCGCACAAGCGGUGGAGCAUGUGGUUCAAUUCGAGGCAACGCGAAGAACCUUACCCAGGUUUGACAUCCCGGGAAUCCCUUGGAAACGAGGGAGUGCCUUUCGGGGAGCCCGGUGACAGGUGUUGCAUGGCUGUCGUCAGCUCGUGUUG